AGUGGAUGGGGAGCAACCUAGUUGUGCGUGUGUAAAGGUAGUGCCAAGAAAAGCGAUGAUCAUGUUGAAAAUCAAUUCCCGGUACCCGAAACCGACACAGGUGGGCAAGUAGAGAAUACUAAGGGGCGCGAGGUAACUCUCUCCAAGGAACUCGGCAAAAUGACCCCGUAACUUAGGGAGAAGGGGUGCCACCGAGAGGUGGUCGCAGUGAAGAGGCCCAGGCGACUGUUUAGCAAAAACAUAGGUCUCUGCAAACUCGAAAGAGGAGGUAUAGGGGCUGACGCCUGCCCAGUGCCGGAAGGUUAAAGAAGUUGGUCAGUUUUAGGAUGAAGCUAGCGACUGAAGCCCCGGUGAACGGCGGCCGUAACUAUAACGGUCCUAAGGUAGCGAAAUUCCUUGUCGGGUAAGUUCCGACCCGCACGAAAGGCGUAACGAUCUGGGCGCUGUCUCGGAGAGAGGCUCGGCGAAAUAGGAUUGUCUGUGAGGAUACGGACUACCUGCAUUUGGACAGAAAGACCCUAUGAAGCUUUACUAUAGCUUGGAAUUGUGUUCGGGCUUCCUGUGCGCAGGAUAGGUGGGAGGCGUAGAAGGUAUUCUUGUGGGGAUACUGGAGCCAACGGUGAGAUACCACUCUCAGGAGGCUAGAAUUCUAACUUAAUUAAGGACAGUUUCAGGUGGGUAGUUUGACUGGGGCGGUCGCCUCCAAAAAGGUAACGGAGGCGUACAAAGGUUCCCUCAGACUGGUUGGAAAUCAGUCGAAGAGUGCAAAGGCAGAAGGGAGCUUGACUGCGAGAAGUACAGUUCGAGCAGGGUGGAAACACGGUCUUAGUGAUCCGACGGUGCUGUGUGGAAGGGCCGUCGCUCAACGGAUAAAAGUUACUCUAGGAUAACAGGCUGAUCUCCCCCAAGAGUUCACAUCGACGGGGAGGUUUGGCACCUCGAUGUCGGCUCAUCGCAACCUGGGGCGGAAGUACGUCCCAAGGGUUGGGCUGUUCGCCCAUUAAAGCGGUACGUGAGCUGGGUUCAGAACGUCGUGAGACAGUUCGGUCCAUAUCCGAUGUAGGCGUGAGAAUAUUGAGAGGAGCCUUCCUUAGUACGAGAGGACCGGGAAGGACGCACCGCUGGUGUACCUGUUAUGAUGCCAAUUGUAAACGCAGGGUAGCCAAGUGCGGAGAGGAUAACCGCUGAAAGCAUCUAAGUGGGAAGCCCACCUCAAGAUGAGUAUUCUGGUGUAAGGUCACGGGAAGACGACCCGUAAAUAGGCACGAGGUGGAAGUGCAGAGAUGUAUGAAGCCGAAGUGUACUAAUAGACCGUCGGCUUGAC
rnacentral:rRNA from 1 species